CUCGCUCCCGGCGCCGCCCCCUGCUUCCACCCAACGCCGGUACCGCCCCUGCAUCCACUCGCCACCGGCGCCGCCAUCACUCCUCGCUUCCCCCCUCACCCACUUCCUCCCUCGCUCCUGGCGCCGCCCCCAGCUUCCACCCAACACCGGCGCCGCCCCUGCUUCCACCCGCCAAUGGCGCCGCCCUCACUCCCUGCUCCCCCCCGCCAUCGGCGUGCCUCCCUGCUUCCAAGCGCCACCGUUGCCACCCUGCGUCCAGCCGUCGCCGUCGGGAGCCACCCUAGCGCCACCAAUCGCCGCGACCAGCCGUCCCUACCACCGUCUUGGCGACCCCCACCCCCGCAGCGGACCGUCGCAUCCGCGUCGCUGCAUCCCGCGACCACUGCGCACCGUCCAACUCGGCAGUCCAACUUCUUGCUCCAUGCUCGGUCGCUCAAGGAGCUGCGUGAAGGUCACCCCGCGCUCCACCUUCCGGACAUGGGAUCCCGUCGCCAUGCUCCUGCAGCCACCUCCGGGGCAGUGUGCUCGGCCUCCUCUCUCCUCCUGCCACCUCCUAGCGCCAUGCCGAGCACACCUCGGGCUGCCUCUUCCUCUUGCUUACUCCCGCACGAGGCACGCUGCGACGAGCACGCACCCGGCCGCCCCCACCUCCGGUAAAUCGAUGCACUCAGUUCAGUUUGUUUUUUCAAUUCAGCUCAAUUCUAAAAAAAAGUUCUCUCCAUCUCUGUAGCUUGCGUGAACUUAUAGCUGAGACGCGAUGAACUCUAUCCAUUUCGACUCUUGAACUGAUAGCUGAUGAUUUUAUGAACUAGUAAAAAUGUUUUUGUUUCAUCUUUGACUCUUGUUCUCUGUUCUUUCACUCUCAAAAUUACGUGCAUGUGCAGAUGCUACCUGCUGAUUGCUACUUGACACAACCAUUUUUGUCUUGAUUUUGCAAUUGUAUGACACGAAUUUGCUAUGAGAAAAAACAAGGACAAACAGAAAACAAAAAUUAGUACCUUUGUGCUUGCUAGGUGUUUGUUUAUGUCUCUUAAGAACCAAACAAAACUAGUAACAUCCCUACAUAGGGCCGUGAGUAUACUUUUAAGUUAGUUGAUAUGUCUGUAGGACAAAAAUGAAAAAAAAGCAUCCUUUUCAGUGCACCUUCGUAUGCAUUUUCAGUUCAUUUUACAGGUCAAGGACAAGUAAAUUUAGUGGCAUUGCUAAAAUCACAGAAUAGUUGGUGCGUGUGCAGAAAUAUCAUCGGUGCAAGUUUCAAAAUUCUGUAACUUUAGAUAUAUCACCUAAAUAUGUAAUUAUUUGCAGCAAAUUUCUUCAAAAUUCUGUAAAGUUUAGAUAUAUCACCUAAAUAUCAUCAGUGCAAGUUUCAAAAUUCUGUAAUUUAGAUAUGUCGUAAAGAAAAAAUGAUGAGUCACCAUCUGCUUUAUAUUCAUGUUCUCUGCAGCAAAAGUAGCAAUGGGACUAACUGGGAGUGAUCCCUAAACCAUUUCAUUAAAGGACAUGGUUUCCAACAAUGCUAAUGCUACUAGAAAUCAGCUAGAGGCCAUGAAGCUUCUUGGCUUCUCCAAUUAGGAUGUUUGGCCAGUCCUGAAGCACCUCCUCAAGCUCUUCGACAAUAACUGGGCGCCCAUCUCCUGCUCAGUAUGACAAGGAUGCCAGUGAUAAUGAACACCCCCCUCACAGCAAAGAGGCGGAGUGCAUACUUGCCAUCUACAUUUCAGAGCCCCAUCAGUUCAGUGUGAUCUCUCCCGUCCAGAUGGAAGGAGAUCCGUUCAAAGUGUGAGUUUUGCAACGUCGACAUGCAAGUUCUACAAUUUAUCCAUCCAGAUGGGAGAAGGAGAUCAGUCCAACCGAUGCAUCUGAAGCGAAAUAUGCAGAGCCAUUCACCCGAGAGCCAAAUCCUGGCAUGCCCAGCCGGUGCUCGUGAACCCCGCCUCUAUCAACUCCACUUCACUAGAGCCGUCAGUCCACAGGAGUAGAGGUAGCGGAUCCCCUAUAGCGGCUGCUCGUGAACCCCGCCUCCAUCAGCUCCACUUCACCGAAGCCAUCAGUCCGC